UGGGGAAUAUUGCACAAUGGGGGAAACCCUGAUGCAGCGACGCCGCGUGAGCGAAGAAGGUUUUCGAAUCGUAAAGCUCUGUCCUAUGAGAAGAUAAUGACGGUAUCAUAGGAGGAAGCCCCGGCUAAAUACGUGCCAGCAGCCGCGGUAAUACGUAUGGGGCGAGCGUUGUCCGGAAUUAUUGGGCGUAAAGGGUACGUAGGCGGUCUAUUAAGUCAGGUGUGAAAGCGUGGGUAGCAAACAGG
rnacentral:rRNA from 1 species